rnacentral:miRNA from 1 species
AGACCAAAUCCAGAUUAAUGAAAUGUAACCAACAUUUCAUUGAUCUGGAUUUGGUCU